UGCAAGUCGAACGAUGAUGCCCAGCUUGCUGGGUGGAUUAGUGGCGAACGGGUGAGUAACACGUGAGUAACCUGCCCUUGACUUCGGGAUAACUCCGGGAAACCGGGGCUAAUACCGGAUAUGAGCCGUCCUCGCAUGGGGGUGGUUGGAAAGUUUUUCGGUCAGGGAUGGGCUCGCGGCCUAUCAGCUUGUUGGUGGGGUGAUGGCCUACCAAGGCGACGACGGGUAGCCGGCCUGAGAGGGCGACCGGCCACACUGGGACUGAGACACGGCCCAGACUCCUACGGGAGGCAGCAGUGGGGAAUAUUGCACAAUGGGCGAAAGCCUGAUGCAGCGACGCCGCGUGAGGGAUGAAGGCCUUCGGGUUGUAAACCUCUUUCAGCAGGGAAGAAGCGCAAGUGACGGUACCUGCAGAAGAAGCGCCGGCUAACUACGUGCCAGCAGCCGCGGUAAUACGUAGGGCGCAAGCGUUGUCCGGAAUUAUUGGGCGUAAAGAGCUCGUAGGCGGUUUGUCGCGUCUGGUGUGAAAACUCGAGGCUCAACCUCGAGCUUGCAUCGGGUACGGGCAGACUAGAGUGCGGUAGGGGAGACUGGAAUUCCUGGUGUAGCGGUGGAAUGCGCAGAUAUCAGGAGGAACACCGAUGGCGAAGGCAGGUCUCUGGGCCGC
rnacentral:rRNA from 1 species